rnacentral:rRNA from 1 species
GGGGAAUAUUGGACAAUGGGCGAAAGCCUGAUCCAGCAAUGCCGCGUGAGUGAUGAAGGCCUUAGGGUUGUAAAGCUCUUUUACCAGGGAUGAUAAUGACAGUACCUGGAGAAUAAGCUCCGGCUAACUCCGUGCCAGCAGCCGCGGUAAUACGGAGGGAGCUAGCGUUGUUCGGAAUCACUGGGCGUAAAGCGUGCGUAGGCGGUGACUCAAGUCAGAGGUGAAAGCCUGGAGCUCAACUCCAGAACUGCCUUUGAAACUAGGUCGCUAGAACAUCGGAGAGGUGAGUGGAAUUCCGAGUGUAGAGGUGAAAUUCGUAGAUAUUCGGAAGAACACCAGUGGCGAAGGCGGCUCACUGGACGAUUGUUGACGCUGAGGCACGAAAGCGUGGGGAGCAAAC